ACACAUCACAGAUCCUCCUGCUGGUCGCCCCCAGCAACCCCCGGUCUGCAUUACAACAUGAUACUGCAUUCACUAACGCCCCCGCUGCUUUAAAUCCUGAGAAAAGAAGAGAAUUUAAAAAAAAAACCUCUGUUCCUUAUUAGCUGAUUUGAUUUCUGUACAAAUCAGCUGUCUGGUAUCACUGUUGAAACAAGAGCGUCAUCAGUUUUUAAAACUUUAUUAUUUUUUUUGGUUUCAAAGAAAUAAAAAGCAAACAGCAUCGUCCAAACCUGUCGUUAAAAUGUCCCGACAAGGUUUUUUUUUAUAGCAAAGCAGCCAUUAUUUUCCUGGUAUUCUCAGAUAUGGAGACACAUCUGCGAGCCUGAAGUCUGAGAACAUCGUCUGUCCUCUUCUCGGUUCAUUCCUUGAUGUGCUGAUAUGACUUCUAUAAUAGUCUAUCUGCUUCCCUGUUAUCACUGAGAUAAGAUAGAAAAACAUCUCGUUUCAUAUCCCAUUUCCCUCUCAUACUCAACACGACUGUACUUUUCUCAUCUUUUUUUUUUCUCUUCCUCCACUUACUUUCAUCAUCUUUUAUUUCCCACUGCAAACUCUCUGUACUUUCACUCCUCUGUAUGUGUGUGUGUGUGUGUGUUUGUACAGCCGAGUGCAUUUUCCCUCCGUUGGAAUGAGCGAAAUGAACAUUUCUGGAUGAAAUGAAGCAGAACGUUGCAUUCUAACCCAAACUCGUUUCGCCCGUUUUAUUCCUCCUGCACGGCCUCGGAGCACUAUCCUUACAGGAGGAAUACAAUUUCAGACUUUAGACCAGCAUCAUUUCACAGGAGUGUUUGUAGAGAGAUUUUUUUUUUAUUUAUUUUUUUUUCAAUGCUGAGCGCAUCAGUGCCAUCCUGACAUCAGGGUCUGCCUUUAAAAAUUGUUUAUUGCACAUCACGUUGCCUGCAUCACUUUGGAAACGCCUAGAUGCUCUCGUUUUUGAAAUAUCCUAGUCAUCAGUCCAAUAUAGCUCUCCUGCCUCUCUGAUUUUUUUUUUUUUUUUUUCCUGUGACAUAUCAGAGGACCUCGGAGCCAUUAAAUUGACAAAAGGUUUUCUCCUCCAUUUGUCAGCCAGAGAUAGGUUCGGGCUUCAAUUAGGUAAACCUAUUUCAUUUGGAGUGCCGUUUUUAUUCCCGGGAGACAAGCUGUUGAUGAAACACUCUAACAUUAUGGACCAUUGUGUUGUGAAAGCGCUGACCCACAAACAUGACCCGCUAGCUAAUGCUAGCCUUGGGAGGACAGCUUCCCCUCCACUACUGCACACACACACACACACACACCACACCCCUCCUCUCCCCUCUCUACUCUCCUCAGCUACUUAAAACAGCUGCAUCUCGCUCACAUCGCUCAUAUCACACAGCCUGACAUCUUUGCACCUUAUAAACCGCCUCUCAUUGGUAUCAGACAAACAGAACAAAACGAGCCCACACGCUGUCAUUAGGUCUGCAUGCAGCGGUGCGGCCGAGACCACAGACAGUCCACUCACAGCUUUAGUUUGCAGACACUUGAAGCGCACUUUUAGUGGCCUUUCUGUCGGGCAGGCAUUCAGAACAAUGUCUCAGCCAAAGCUGCUCUGUGUGUGUGUGUGUGUGUUUGUGUGUGUGUUAAUCAGUAGCUGUCAUCCGCAUCGUCAAUAUCAGUGUCACAUGUUCAAUCAGCUGCUUUACUUUUUCAUUGAUUUGAUGCCAUUUAUGUUCUGAGUUUCUGUGAAAUGUGUUGUAAAGCCUUUACAGUGUCGACAACAGUGUCAAUCAAAAUGUUACUACAGCGAAACUAUCAUGUAACCCAGCUGGGCUCUCUUUUCUUUUCUUUACUUUUCUACUAUUCCUUCUGUCUUUUUUUUUUUUUUUUUUUUUUUGGUGCUCAACAUCAUUGUUUGGAAUAUCAUGUUUGUAUUUUUCAUCCUGGAAAAUGUGCUCAUCGGACUUUUUAAGAAGUUUGGAGUGUGAUUUAUUUGCCAGGAGAGAUUUAUUAUGUGUUACAUGUGGAGUCACAACAGAAGAAACAAAGUUCAUCUACAGAACAGCAAAGGAGGAGGAGGGGGGAGAAAAAAAAACCCCACUCCUCACUUUGUUUGCAUCUGGUCCUGAUUUCAUUCAUCUACAGAGAACCAUAUUGUUUAAAUCCAUAUCAAAGCUUUUAUGUCUGAUUGUUUAAAUUGCUGUUGAUCAUCUCCAGAGAACCUCGCUCCCCCAGCUUUGCAGAUAAUCAACACAAAAAAAAAAACGCCGCCCAUUUCAAUACCCCCCCUCCCCCCUCUCCCAUCCACCCACCCACCUCGACUCUCAGCACUGUACAAUGAUAUAUAUUUAUUUUUUCUUUUUAAAAACAAACAAAAAAAAAAAGAA